rnacentral:rRNA from 1 species
AUGGUGCUCUCCUGGAUUUAUGGCUUGAUUUCCAUCGAGCUGUUCGGCAUCAUCAUGGCUCCAGGCUCCAUGGUGCGGCAGGUGUGGGACUCCAUCGCCAACCUCUUCCACGACAACAAGAAAAGCCGCGCCCUCGCCCUCGACGCCGAGUUCCGCAACACACCGCAAGGAGACAUGUUCGUCCAUGACUACCGCGCCAAGCUCAAGUCUCUCUCCGAUGCUCUCAGUGAUGUCGGCAUAACCAUCUCUGAUGAGACGCUUGUCCUAACGAUGCUCCACGGCCUCAACGAGCAAUUCAGCCACCUACGGUCCUUUCUUCCAUUUUAG